rnacentral:lncRNA from 1 species
GGGCGGGCUGAUGUCUGGGGCCGUUCUAUGGGGCUGACAUGUGGGGCCAUUCUAUGGGGCAGUUCUAUGGGGCUGACAUGGGUCAUUUCUAUGGGGCUGAAGUGGGGCCAUUCUAUGGGGCAGGCCGUUCUAUGGGGCAGGCCGUUCUAUGGGGCUGAUGUGGGGCCGUUCUGUGGGGCAGGCUGGAUGCAUCGCGCGGUGGAGCCGCUGGGGGGCCGUGCGGGACGCGAGGCGUUCGCCGUGGGGCACAGCGGCUGCAGCGGGGGCUGGGGCUGCCCCACGCGCCCAUGGCUGCCCAACAACAGGUGAGCGCCGCCCCAUAGCGCCCCAUAGCGCCCCAUGGGGGAUGGGGACCCAUAGGGAUGCAUGGGGACCCAUAGGGACCCAUAGGGGCCCAUAGGGACCCAUAGGGGGACGGGGACCCAUAGAGGACCCAUAGAGACCCAUAGGGACCCAUAGGGACCCAUAGGGACCCAUAGGGGGACACGGGGACCCAUAGGCACCCAUAGAGACCCAUAGAGACCCAUAGCACCCCAUAGGGGGACAUGGGGACCCAUAGCGACCCAUAGGGACCCAUAGAGACCCAUAGGGACCCAUAGGCGGAUGGGGACCCAUAGGGACCCAUAGGGACCCAUAGGGACCCAUAGAGACUCAUAGCACCCCAUAGGGGGACAUGGGGACCCAUAGGGACCCAUAGGGG